rnacentral:lncRNA from 1 species
AUCUUUGCUCUCCUGCCCUCUCAAUCCGAUUAUUCACUUUGAGAAUCCUAUUGACUAUUCCUUUAGCAUCGUAUUUACUUAGUCUUUCUUUCCUUCCAUGCACUCAGAAAAGUCCUUAGUAGUUCGCAGGCAGAUUAGAAUACAUUUCUGCACGAAGCAGGUAAACCAAUGCGCCCGGAUAAAUAGAAAACAAGAUGUGAAAUACCUUACUUGAGAGCUCUAAAGC